rnacentral:tRNA from 1 species
GAAACAGCUCAGUUGGUUACAGCGUGGUACUGAUAAUGCCAUGGUUGCAGGUUCGAUCCCCUUAUGGGACA